UGGGGAAUUUUGGACAAUGGGGGAAACCCUGAUCCAGCCAUCCCGCGUGUGCGAUGAAGGCCUUCGGGUUGUAAAGCACUUUUGGCAGGAAAGAAACGUCAUGGGUUAAUACCCCGUGAAACUGACGGUACCUGCAGAAUAAGCACCGGCUAACUACGUGCCAGCAGCCGCGGUAAUACGUAGGGUGCAAGCGUUAAUCGGAAUUACUGGGCGUAAAGCGUGCGCAGGCGGUUCGGAAAGAAAGAUGUGAAAUCCCAGAGCUCAACUUUCGAACUGCAUUUUUAACUACCGGGCUAGAGUGUGUCAGAGGGAGGUGGAAUUCCGCGUGUAGCAGUGAAAUGCGUAGAUAUGCGGAGGAACACCGAUGGCGAAGGCAGCCUCCUGGGAUAACACUGACGCUCAUGAACGAAAGCGUGGGGAGCAAACAGG
rnacentral:rRNA from 1 species